rnacentral:rRNA from 1 species
GUGGGGAAUAUUGGGCAAUGGGCGCAAGCCUGACCCAGCAACGCCGCGUGAAGGAAGAAGGCUUUCGGGUUGUAAACUUCUUUUACCAGGGACGAAACAAAUGACGGUACCUGGUGAAUAAGCCACGGCUAACUACGUGCCAGCAGCCGCGGUAAUACGUAGGUGGCGAGCGUUAUCCGGAUUUAUUGGGUGUAAAGGGCGUGUAGGCGGGACAGCAAGUCAGAUGUGAAAACCAGAGGCUCAACCUCUGGCCUGCAUUUGAAACUGUUGUUCUUGAGUGUCGGAGAGGUAAUCGGAAUUCCGUGUGUAGCGGUGAAAUGCGUAGAUAUGAUGUAGAACACCGAUUGCGAAGGCAGCUCACUAAGCAAAUAUUGACGCUGAGGCACGAAAGCGUGGGGAUCAAACAGGAUUAGAUACCCGUGUAGUCC